CCCUUAGAUGUUCUGGGCCGCACGCGCGCUACACUGACUACUUCAACGAGUUGUUUCCUUGAUCGAAAGGUCUGGGUAAUCUUUGAAAGGUAGUCGUGAUGGGGAUAGAUCCUUGCAAUUUUUGAUCUUCAACGAGGAAUUCCUAGUAAAUGCAAGUCAUCAGCUUGCAUUGAUUACGUCCCUGCCCUUUGUACACACCGCCCGUCGCACCUACCGAUUGAAUGGUCCGGUGAAUCUUUAGGACUGUGGCUGAGGCCUUGCCUUGUGCGGGUCUGGCCGUGGGAAUUUAGUUAAACCUUACCAUUUAGAGGAAGGUGAAGUCGUAACA
rnacentral:rRNA from 1 species